GCCGAAGUGGUGGAAUUGGCAGACACGCGGGACUUAAAAUCCCGUGAUCCUUACCGAUCGUACCGGUUCGACCCCGGUCUUCGGCACCA
rnacentral:tRNA from 3 species